UACGGGGGGGGCAAGCGUUGUUCGGAAUUACUGGGCGUAAAGGGCUCGUAGGUGGCCAACUAAGUCGGACGUGAAAUCCCUCGGCUUAACCGGGGAACUGCGUCCGAUACUGGUUGGCUUGAGUUUGGGAGAGGGAUGCGGAAUUCCAGGUGUAGCGGUGAAAUGCGUAGAUAUCUGGAGGAACACCGAUGGCGAAGGCAGCCCCCUGGGGUAACACUGACGCUCAUGCACGAAAGCGUGGGGAGCGAACAGG
rnacentral:rRNA from 1 species